CUGCCAGUGAUAAACUGGAGGAAGGUGGGGAUGACGUCAAGUCAUCAUGGCCCUUACGAGUAGGGCUACACACGUGCUACAAUGGCAUAUACAAAGAGAAGCGACCUCGCGAGAGCAAGCGGACCUCAUAAAGUAUGUCGUAGUCCGGAUUGGAGUCUGCAACUCGACUCCAUGAAGUCGGAAUCGCUAGUAAUCGUGGAUCAGAAUGCCACGGUGAAUACGUUCCCGGGCCUUGUACACACCGCCCGUCACACCAUGGGAGUGGGUUGCAAAAGAAGUAGGUAGCUUAACCUUCGGGAGGGCGCUUACCACUUUGUGAUUCAUGACUGGGGUGAAGUCGUAACAAGGUAACCGUAGGGGAACCUGCGGUUGGA
rnacentral:rRNA from 1 species